UCCGGGCAUUAUUGGGCGUAAAGAGCUCGUAGGCGGUUUGUCGCGUCUGCCGUGAAAGUCCGGGGCUCAACUCCGGGUCUGCGGUGGGUACGGGCAGACUAGAGUGAUGUAGGGGAGACUGGAAUUCCUGGUGUAGCGGUGAAAUGCGCAGAUAUCAGGAGGAACACCGAUGGCGAAGGCAGGUCUCUGGGCAUUAACUGACGCUGAGGAGCGAAAGCAUGGGGAGCGAACAGGAUUAGAUACCCUGGUAGUCCAUGCCGUAAACGUUGGGCACUAGGUGUGGGGGACAUUCCACGUUUUCCGCGCCGUAGCUAACGCAUUAAGUGCCCCGCCUGGGGAGUACGGCCGCAAGGCUAAAACUCAAAGGAAUUGACGGGGGCCCGCACAAGCGGCGGAGCAUGCGGAUUAAUUCGAUGCAACGCGAAGAACCUUACCAAGGCUUGACAUGGACCGGACCGGGCUGGAAACAGUCCUUCCCCUUUGGGGCCGGUUCACAGGUGGUGCAUGGUUGUCGUCAGCUCGUGUCGUGAGAUGUUGGGUUAAGUCCCGCAACGAGCGCAACCCUCGUUCCAUGUUGCCAGCGCGUAAUGGCGGGGACUCAUGGGAGACUGCCGGGGUCAACUCGGAGGAAGGUGGGGACGACGUCAAAUCAUCAUGCCCCUUAUGUCUUGGGCUUCACGCAUGCUACAAUGGCCGGUACAAAGGGUUGCGAUACUGUGAGGUGGAGCUAAUCCCAAAAAGCCGGUCUCAGUUCGGAUUGGGGUCUGCAACUCGACCCCAUGAAGUCGGAGUCGCUAGUAAUCGCAGAUCAGCAACGCUGCGGUGAAUACGUUCCCGGGCCUUGUACACACCGCCCGUCAAGUCACGAAAGUUGGUAACACCCGAAGCCGGUGGCCUAACCCCUUGUGGGAGGGAGCUGUCGAAGGUGGGACUGGCGAUUGGGACUAAGUCGUAACAAGGUAACC
rnacentral:rRNA from 1 species